GGUCAAUCUAAGUUUACAACCAAACGACUCCCUCUGGCUAACCAGGCCCCUACACUUUGUAUGGACUAAGAAGGUGGCAGCGCGCCCAGAGCUUGAUUUCCCAGGCUCCCUUGAAGUGAGCAGUGGCUCCAUGACAAUUUCUGAUGAACAAGGAGUGAGCAGAGGGGAGAGCAAUAAGCCCUGAGCUCAGAGGAAUGAUGGGGGCUGUUUGGUUUUUGGUCUUCUUCUUCGGUACCAGAACUCUCUCCUUAAAAGAAUGAUCUUCUUAAUUUCCUUCUUUUC